GGGCCGCGAACCGCCGGAAGAGGCAGGGCGCAGCCGGCCGGCGGAACUACCGCUCCCGCCGCGCCGCGCGGCGGGCGGGGCGGGGCUGGCGCGGGGCGUGCCGGGAGCUGUAGUCUCGGGCGGAGGCUGCGGCGGGCGCCCUUGGCGGCCCACCCCUCUGCCCGGGGCUCACGGGCCUGUGGGGAGGCGCCGGCCUGGCGACCCGCGGGGCCCGCCCUUCCCCCGGAGCUGGAGAACGAGGGCGAGCCUGGGCGGUGGGGCGGUGAGAGGGAGAGGGGCGAACUGGGCGAAUAGUCUCAGGCUCCCCUGGGCCGCCUGCGGCUCUGGCCCGGGCCCGGGCCGAUCACGGGGGAGGCUUGAGGGGUGGGAGGCAGCUGCCGGCCGCUGGCGGGUACCCGCCUCGGGGCGGCUGCGGGCGGGCCUAAAGGCAGCUCCCGGGCAGCCGAGUGGAGGGGUCCGGCUCUCAAAGAGGCCUGGAGAACGGCCAAAAACUCUCCUCGAGUGGGAGAACUGCCGUCGGGUGAAGGCUUCGGGGUGUUGCCAGGGAGUCGGUGUUGGGAGAGAUUGAGCUCCUGCAAAAGCUGAGUGAGAGGCCUUUUCGUUGAUACCAUACUUCCAAGCAGAUGGUGCAUCUUGGGAUAUUUGAAUACACCGGUAACAAACAAACAAGAAAAAACAGAUAGCCAAAUCCAUCUGAACCUUGAUGAUUCCUGUGUCCUAAAUCUACUGCUGAAGCAUCUGGCUGCAAGAUACGUAAAUUCGUAUUCGUGGGAGGCUGGAGUACAGGUGAUGGAACUGAAGUCAGAAAGAUUAACACAUUUACUUUUCCCUCUCUUGCAAUCUGGUGUAGGUAUGCUGAGAACACGUAUAGGGCCAUAAUAACCCAUUUGAAAAAUACAUCCUGAUAAUAAAUACAUUGAAAUGACUAAAAUGCUUUACCUUCAAAAGCAGCUCCUCAUCAUAGUAAGACUUGUGGAUCACAUAAUUUCUUUGGUGAAUGCCUCAGCCCCAGCCACAAAGGAAGCGUUUAGAGACCAUUUGGCAGGGGAGGAGUAAUUUAGGUUCAGGCUCUGCCUUGGCUCCAGCAGAGCCCUCACCUUCCAUUUCAGCUGCCAGCCUCUCCUCCAGGCCUGCCACCAUCACACCUGCCUACUUUAGCACUUUGCUCCAUGCCUCCCUUGCCAACAGCAAACACCCAUGUGACUUUUAAUACCAUCACUGACUGAAGAAGAAAUAAGUGAGGAGUGCUCUAGAAAAGUACUUCAGAGCAGUGUUACCUGAUUGGAAUUGGCUUCAAUAGGUGGAGUUACGUGGCAUAUACGUGAAAAUGUUAUUAGAGGUCUGCAACUACUCUGGCUGCAGUUUUCCAGCUACAGACUUAUUUUAUGAAGCACAUGAAACAGCAUCUUCAUUUACAUCCUUUAUUUACAGUGCAAUAUUUAAAGUUAUUGUCUGGUGGUCUGCUGGACUUUGUUAGCAAAACCAACGUUCCAGUCUGUUUAUGCAUUCUUACCCUUGGGAUCUGGAAGAUAAACUGGAAGACAGAGGGUUUUUUUCUGUCCUAGUAUGUUUUUUUCUUCUUCUGUUAACAUGGACACUUACUCUGUUACCUCCACUCUUUGUUUCUGUUAACAAAUCCACCAAAGAUUAAGCCAUAGUGUACACUUCUCAGAAACAGUGAUUCAGCUCCAGAAUUACCUGGUGAUUGUGUACCAGAAGAACUGGGUCUUGGCUUGCAAAGAAUCAAGACAGGGGGAACUGCUGCCAAAUAGUAAAUGCCACAAAAGGUUCUGUCUUUUCCCCUUUUAAUGGGGUUAAAAAAAACCAGUCAAGAGUACAAAUUCAAAAGAAGCUUCCUCUAUGCAGAUUUAGAAGACAGAAAUACCUCCGUUUUCUAAUUCUUUUAUGCAUCCCCUGUAUAAGAAAAUUUGAGGAGAACCAGAAGUUAAGAUCUCUCCUUAAUAUGACAACAGGUCUUGCAGGUUUUUCCAUGUGUGGUUUUCGGUACAAACACCUUCUUAGGCAUGGUUGCGCGAUAGAUACAACUGACAUCAGGGGAUGUGCAGGGGCUGGGGGAGGGCAGAGUUAAUCCUUAUCACCAGCAUAUGGAGAGGCAGGGAAUGAAGGACAGGGCACAGCAUCAAGCCAUGGCUCACAGAGGGAGCAUCACUGAGGCUGGAGGGGACCCCAGGAGGGCCACAGUUCAAUUUCCAGCUCAAAGCAGGGCCAAAGCUGAAUUCAGGCCAGGUCACUCAGGGCUUUGUCCUGUGGGGUCAUUAAAACCUCCGAGGACAGAGAUUUCACAGCCUCCCCGGGCAGCGCGGCUCAGUGCUUGCCUGUCCAGCUUCAGCCUGCACAUUUUGUGUUAUAGUAAUGGCAGAGUUGAUACAUAAACACUGAGUGGGUGGCUUAAUGGUAAUUAUGUAUGAGCAUGGUUUUUUAGUGUAGUCUUUGUUGUUGUUUGAACACACUGCGAACCUUAAUAAUGCAUUAAUCUGUUUUGUUGUGUUUAGUGUCAUUUCUGAUCUAAUGCUUUUAUUUCAUCCAGACUGAUGUAAUUUUUCAUACUAAACAACACCUGUGCUGUUGAUCAGCAGUAUCUGGCAGCCUUCUCCAAGAUCUGAUUAAUUUCAUUUUAACACCUCAUAGCACAGCUCAAGAAUGACAUCUUGGAUCUAUUGUAGUCAAUAGAACUUCUCUCACUGAUUUCAGUGAGAGCAUGAUGUCAUUCCAGCAGCAUCUUUAGUAUCUUCAUCACUGCUUGCAAAAGGAUAACAUUUGCUUAAUCUGAGGUCAACAUUUGUCCUGUGUGUUUGUAGAUCUUAAUGUUUGUCAUGCUCUGAAUUCAGUAUUGUUGUAAUAAAAUCUCAGUUUGGAGGUGGUUUGACAUUUUUCAAAACUAUUUGCUAUUAAAUAUUAAACAAGCUCUCUCUGUACCUGAGAAGUAGCAGAGUAGGUUCAGUUUCAUAAUACUGUUUUCCACAGUUUAUUAUGCAGGUAGUUUAUUCAGUCCCUCCAAUUCUGAACUUGAAAAUGUCUUGCAAUAAAACAAUAUCAUGACCUUCUUUGCAA